UACGUAGGGGGCAAGCGUUGUUCGGAUUUACUGGGCGUAAAGGGCGCGUAGGCGGCGUGGUAAGUCACUUGUGAAAUCUCUGAGCUUAACUCAGAACGGUCAAGUGAUACUGCUGUGCUAGAGUGCAGAAGGGGCAAUCGGAAUUCUUGGUGUAGCGGUGAAAUGCGUAGAUAUCAAGAGGAACACCUGAGGUGAAGACGGGUUGCUGGGCUGACACUGACGCUGAGGCGCGAAAGCCAGGGGAGCAAACGGG
rnacentral:rRNA from 1 species